rnacentral:rRNA from 1 species
AUUGAACGCUGGCGGCAUGCCUUACACAUGCAAGUCGAACGGCAGCAUGAUCUAGCUUGCUAGAUUGAUGGCGAGUGGCGAACGGGUGAGUAAUACAUCGGAACGUGCCCUGUAGUGGGGGAUAACUAGUCGAAAGAUUAGCUAAUACCGCAUACGACCUGAGGGUGAAAGUGGGGGACCGCAAGGCCUCAUGCUAUAGGAGCGGCCGAUGUCUGAUUAGCUAGUUGGUGGGGUAGAGGCCCACCAAGGCGACGAUCAGUAGCUGGUCUGAGAGGACGACCACCCACACUGGGACUGAGACACGGCCCAGACUCCUACGGGAGGCAGCAGUGGGGAAUUUUGGACGAUGGGGGCAAGCCUGAUCCAGCAAUGCCGCGUGUGUGAAGAAGGCCUUCGGGUUGGAAAGCACUUUUGGCCGGAAAGAAAUCGCACUUACUAAUAUUAGGUGUGGAUGACGGUACCGGAAGAAUAAGCACCGGCUAACUACGUG